rnacentral:lncRNA from 1 species
UCUUAUGCAUGAUUUCAUAUCCUUGUAAUUCUCUUCGAGUUGUGGUUUUUGUUUGGCCAGGUUGAUCUAUGAUUCUUGCAAUGGGAGAAGUGCUUGGUAUUGGGUUCAUACCGUGCAGUGACCUCACCCAGUGACAGAAGGGGUAGCGAGGCACGUAUCGUGUUGUUGCCAUCAAGGGUAAAAAGAUGGGGUUUUCAUCAUUGGUUUGAGUUUAUCCCUCUACAUCAUGUCAUCUUGCUUAAGGCGUUACUCUGUUCGUCAUGAACUCAAUACACUAGAUGCAUGC